AUUGAACGCUGGCGGCAGGCUUAACACAUGCAAGUCGAGCGAGCGGCGGACGGGUGAGUAAUGGCUGGGAAACUGCCUGAUGGAGGGGGAUAACUACUGGAAACGGUAGCUAAUACCGCAUACCAUCAGAUGUGCCCAGCUGGGAUUAGCUAGUAGGUGGGGUAAUGGUUCACCUAGGCGACGAUCCCUAGCUGGUCUGUGAGGCUGACGAGCCACACUGGAAAUGAGACACGGUCCAGACGCCUACGGGAGGAGGCAGUGGGUAAUAGUGCACAAUGGGGGCAAGCCUAAUGCAGCCAUGCCGCGUGUGUGAAGAAGGCCUUCGGGUUGUAAAGCACUUUCAGCGAGGAGGCGUUACUCGCAGAAGAAGCACCGGCUAACUCCGUGCCAGCAGCCGCGGUAAUUC
rnacentral:rRNA from 1 species